GAUGAACGCUGGCUACAGGCUUAACACAUGCAAGUCGAGGGGAAACGACGGGGAAGCUUGCUUCCCCGGGCGUCGACCGGCGCACGGGUGAGUAACGCGUAUCCAACCUGCCUCUGACUGAGGGAUAACCCGUCGAAAGUCGGCCUAAUACCUCAUGGCAUCGUCUGCGGGCAUCCAACGACGAUUAAAGAUUUCAUCGGUCAGGGAUGGGGAUGCGUCUGAUUAGCUUGUUGGCGGGGUAACGGCCCACCAAGGCUACGAUCAGUAGGGGUUCUGAGAGGAAGGUCCCCCAAAUUGGAACUGGGACCCGGUCCAAACUCCACGGGGGGGCAGGGGGGGGGAAAUUUGGUCAAGGGGGGGGAGCCGGAACCAGCCAAGUGGCGUGAAGGAUGACGGCCCUUUGGGUUUAAAACGGCUUUUAGGGGGGGAUAAAGUGGGGGACGUGUCCUUCAUUGCAGGGACCGAAUGAAAAAGGCCCGGCUAAUUCCGU
rnacentral:rRNA from 1 species